rnacentral:rRNA from 1 species
AUUGAACGCUGGCGGCAGGCCUAACACAUGCAAGUCGAACGAGUGGCGGACGGGUGAGUAAUGUAUGGGCACCGGCCUGAUGGAUGGGGAUAACUACUGGAAACGAUAGCUAAUACCGCAUACCAUCAGAUGUGCCCAGAUGGGAUUAGCUAGUUGGUGGGGUAACGGCUCACCAAGGCGACGAUCCCUAGCUGGUCGGAGAGGAUGAUCAGUCACACUGGAACUGAGACACGGUCCAGACUCCUACGGGAGGCAGCAGUGGGGAAUUUUGGACAAGGGGCGAAAGCCUGAUCCAGCCAUGCCGCGUGUGUGAAGAAGGUCUUCGGAUGGUAAAGCACUUUAAGGUGGGAAGCGUUACCAACAGAAUAAGCACCGGCUAACUACGUGCCAGCAGCCGCGGUAAUAC